rnacentral:lncRNA from 1 species
CCCAGUUGUCCCCCUGCGCCUAGGGGAGAGCUACCCACUGUGGAGUUUGUCCUGGAUGGAUGCCUGCUCAAGGAACAGGGGCAUCAGCUGAUGAAGUGGUUGGCCGCUUGUGUAGAAGGCUGACAUCCCGUCUUGCUCCUAUCAGUCUUAUCAGUGAUAUCCCACCAGCUCCUGGGAAUUCAGCACCAUGUUUGGCUCCCAAGCCUCCUGAGCCCUUCAUUUCCAAGCUGCAGAACCUCCCUCACAUCCACCUAAAAUCAGGUUUAUUUUGGGAGAAGAAAGUAAUGCUCACAGGCAUCACAGCACCAGCUUCUGGAGAGCCAAAUCAUUUCCACGGCUCCUGUUACCUCUUUGAGAGGAGCAAGAAGGAGGAGGAUUGCUGCGGGGAGAGGUAGGUGGCCAGGUAGCCCGCGUGCUAUCUGAACAGACAGUAGAUACAAGAAGGCAAAAGAGGGAUAGUCAGCUGUAAUGAACGUUAGCCUUUUUGAGGAGGGAGAGUAGUGAGUGGACCAAAAGGGAAGGGAAAGGAGUGGGUUUUGUGAUGGUGAGAGAGGGAGAACACGAAUGCAAACAUGGGUGGGAGAGUGGGAGCUAGGGGUAAGCAAAGGGAAGGAGUAGGAUUGUCUGUGCAGGAAAACCUGGCUUUCAUUGGAGUUAUUUCUCUUUCAGUGGUGUUAGAGACAAGGCAUGUUGUUAGCUGUUUUCCUCAAAAUUUCAAAGCUUCCCCACUAAAACUGCCUAAAGAAAUCAUCUCACAGUGAUGCCAAGACUUCCUGAAUAGUGGCAACUCACCUGCCUCAGCCUACCUUUCCUUCUGCAGACUUUCAGGCAGCAUAUUGGUCAGCUUAUACCAUGGUCCUUACUCAAGAAAGACUUGCACCUUUUAAAUGCAUGAAGUAAACACUUCUAGAUUUGGUCACCGGUUAUGGAUCCUCCCCCUGCCCCAAACUCUUACUGUACAGAUGCUUCUCUGGGAUGCAUUAUGGUGCUGGCCAUAGCAUAAAACUGAAAAAGUGAGUGUUGGUGUCUCAAUCAGUUUGUCCCAAAUAGGAUUUUUUUUUUUUUUCGGUCGGUCUGUUGGCCUCUUGGCUUUGACUGGUCUGCUGGCUUCCACAGAGGAGAAAUCUUACUGUGAGAUAGAGCAAGUGCAGAAAGUCCCAGUAGCUGCUGUCCCAUGUUAACAGGGCAUGCCUGGAAGAAGGGCACAGAGCGUUGGGCCUGUGAGCAGGUGGAGCUAUAGGGGGUGUAAACAGUAAGUCAUACGGAGGGAAUAAAGCCAUAUUUGCCCACA